GACGAACGCUGGCGGCGUGCUUAACACAUGCAAGUCGAACGGAAAGGCCCUGCUUUUGUGGGGUGCUCGAGUGGCGAACGGGUGAGUAACACGCGAGUAACCUGCCCUUGACUUUGGGAUAACUUCAGGAAACUGGGGCUAAUACCGGAUAGGAGCUCCUGCUGCAUGGUGGGGGUUGGAAAGUUUCGGCGGUUGGGGGUGGACUCGCGGCUUAUCAGCUUGUUGGUGGGGUAGUGGCUUACCAAGGCUUUGACGGGUAGCCGGCCUGAGAGGGUGACCGGCCACAUUGGGACUGAGAUACGGCCCAGACUCCUACGGGAGGCAGCAGUGGGGAAUAUUGCACAAUGGGCGGAAGCCUGAUGCAGCAACGCCGCGUGCGGGAUGACGGCCUUCGGGUUGUAAACCGCUUUCGCCUGUGACGAAGCGUGAGUGACGGUAAUGGGUAAAGAAGCACCGGCUAACUACGUGCCAGCAGCCGCGGUGAUACGUAGGGUGCGAGCGUUGUCCGGAUUUAUUGGGCGUAAAGGGCUCGUAGGUGGUUGAUCGCGUCGGAAGUGUAAUCUUGGGGCUUAACCCUGAGCGUGCUUUCGAUACGGGUUGACUUGAGGAAGGUAGGGGAGAAUGGAAUUCCUGGUGGAGCGGUGGAAUGCGCAGAUAUCAGGAGGAACACCAGUGGCGAAGGCGGUUCUCUGGGCCUUUCCUGACGCUGAGGAGCGAAAGCGUGGGGAGCGAACAGGCUUAGAUACCCUGGUAGUCCACGCUGUAAACGGUGGGUACUAGGUGUGGGGUCCAUUCCACGGGUUCCGUGCCGUAGCUAACGCUUUAAGUACCCCGCCUGGGGAGUACGGCCGCAAGGCUAAAACUCAAAGGAAUUGACGGGGCCCCGCACAAGCGGCGGAGCAUGCGGAUUAAUUCGAUGCAACGCGUAGAACCUUACCUGGGUUUGACAUGGAUCGGGAGCGCUCAGAGAUGGGUGUGCCUCUUUUGGGGUCGGUUCACAGGUGGUGCAUGGCUGUCGUCAGCUCGUGUCGUGAGAUGUUGGGUUAAGUCCCGCAACGAGCGCAACCCUUGUUCACUGUUGCCAGCACGUUAUGGUGGGGACUCAGUGGAGACCGCCGGGGUCAACUCGGAGGAAGGUGGGGAUGACGUCAAGUCAUCAUGCCCCUUAUGUCCAGGGCUUCACGCAUGCUACAAUGGCUGGUACAGAGAGUGGCGAGCCUGUGAGGGUGAGCGAAUCUCGGAAAGCCGGUCUCAGUUCGGAUUGGGGUCUGCAACUCGACCUCAUGAAGUCGGAGUCGCUAGUAAUCGCAGAUCAGCAACGCUGCGGUGAAUACGUUCCCGGGGCU
rnacentral:rRNA from 1 species